rnacentral:rRNA from 1 species
AUUGAACGCUGGCGGCAUGCUUUACACAUGCCAGUCGAACGGCAGCGCGGGCUUCGGCCUGGCGGCGAGUGGCGAACGGGUGAGUAAUGCAUCGGAACGUGCCCAGUAGUGGGGGAUAGCCCGGCGAAAGCCGGAUUAAUACCGCAUACGACCUGAGGGUGAAAGCGGGGGACCGAAAGGCCUCGCGCUAUUGGAGCGGCCGAUGUCGGAUUAGCUAGUUGGUGGGGUAAAGGCUUACCAAGGCGACGAUCCGUAGCUAGUCUGAGAGGACGACCAGCCACACUGGGACUGAGACACGGCCCAGACUCCUACGGGAGGCAGCAGUGGGGAAUUUUGGACAAUGGGGGCAACCCUGAUCCAGCCAUGCCGCGUGCGGGAAGAAGGCCUUCGGGUUGUAAACCGCUUUUGUUCGGGAAGAAAUCCUCUGGGCUAAUACCCCGGGGGGAUGACGGUACCGGAAGAAUAAGCACCGGCUAACUACGUG